rnacentral:rRNA from 1 species
UAGCGGCGAGCGAACGGGGAGGAGCCCAGAGCCUGAAUCAGCAUGUGUGUUAGUGGAAGCGUCUGGAAAGGCGCGCGAUACAGGGUGACAGCCCCGUACACAAAAGCGCAUGUGCUGUGAGCUCGAUGAGUAGGGCGGGACACGUGGUAUCCUGUCUGAAUAUGGGGGGACCAUCCUCCAAGGCUAAAUACUCCUGACUGACCGAUAGUGAACCAGUACCGUGAGGGAAAGGCGAAAAGAACCCCGGCGAGGGGAGUGAAAAAGAACCUGAAACCGUGUACGUACAAGCAGUGGGAGCACCCUUUGGGGUGUGACUGCGUACCUUUUGUA